AGCGAACGCUGGCGGCAGGCUUAACACAUGCAAGUCGAACGCCCCGCAAGGGGAGUGGCAGACGGGUGAGUAACACGUGGGAACGUACCCUUUGGUUCGGAAUAACUUGGGGAAACUCAAGCUAAUACCGGAUAAGCCCUUAUGGGGAAAGGUUUACUGCCGAAGGAUCGGCCCGCGUCUGAUUAGCUAGUUGGUGAGGUAAUGGCCCACCAAGGCGACGAUCAGUGGCUGGUCUGAGAGGAUGAUCAGCCACACUGGGACUGAGACACGGCCCAGACUCCUCCGGGAGGCAGCAGUGGGGAAUAUUGGACAAUGGGGGCAACCCUGAUCCAGCCAUGCCGCGUGAGUGAUGAAGGCCUUAGGGUUGUAAAGCUCUUUUACCCGGGACGAUAAUGACUGUACCGGGAGAAUAAGCCCCGGCUAACUUCGUGCCAGCCGCCGCAGUAA
rnacentral:rRNA from 1 species